rnacentral:rRNA from 1 species
UACUACCGAAGCUACGGCAUCAGUAAUGAUGGGUCGGGGAGCUUCCCAUACGGGUUGAAGCAUGACCGUAAGGACAUGUGGACAGGAUGGGAGUGGGAAUGUUGGCAUGAGUAGCGAGAUGUGGGUGGGAAUCCCACAGGCCGUAAACCCAAGGUUUCCAGGGGAAGGUUCGUCCGCCCUGGGUUAGUCGGGACCUAAGCUGAGGCCGAAAGG